rnacentral:tRNA from 1 species
UCCCUGGAGGACUAGUGGAUAGGCCACAGCGCUCUCACUGCUGCGGCCCGGGUUCGAUUCCCAGCCAGGGAA